rnacentral:rRNA from 1 species
CCUACGGGAUGCAGCAGUAGGGAAUCUUCCACAAUGGACGAAAGUCUGAUGGAGCAACGCCGCGUGAAGGAAGAAGGCUCUCGGGUUGUAAACUUCUUUUAUCAGGGACGAAGCAAGUGACGGUACCUGAUGAAUAAGCCACGGCUAACUACGUGCAAGCAGCCGCGGUAAUACGUAGGUGGCAAGAGUUAUCCGGAUUUACUGGGUGUAAAGGGCGUGUAGGCGGGAGUGCAAGUCAGAUGUGAAAACUAUGGGCUUAACCCAUAGCCUGCAUUUGAAACUGUACUUCUUGAGUGCUGGAGAGGCAAUCGGAAUUCCGGGUGUAGCGGUGAAAUGCGUAGAUAUACGGAGGAACACCAGUGGCGAAGGCGGAUUGCUGGACAGUAACUGACGCUGAGGCGCGAAAGCGUGGGUAGCAAACAGGAUUAGAUACCCCAGUAGUC